GGCGCCUGUAGUCCCAGCUACUCGGGAGGCUGAGGCAGGAGAAUGGCGUGAACCCAGUAGGCGGAGCUUGCAGUGAGCCGAUAUCGUGCCACUGCACUCCAGCCUGGGCAACAGAGCGAGACUCCAUCUCAAAAAAAAAAAAAAAAAAGAAUAGAAAAUACUUCGUCCUUAAAACCUUAAAAGAAUUAUAAUGUAGUGGGAGAGAUGGACUGGAUCGAUACACAAAAAUAUGAGAUUUCAGGCGAUGUGGCAGGCUGAAUUGAUGUGAUAUGACAUCACCCUCUAGAAAUAUAAACUUUACAGCAAUUAUAUAUGAUACAGUAAAAAUAUAUAAAAAUAACAAUUGAACAGUAUACAACCACAUUUAAAGCAAUAAAUGAAAGUCCCUAAGUGCCACAAAUGAAAAGAAGACUCAAAGCUGGCAGGGCGCAGUGGCUCACGUCU
rnacentral:lncRNA from 10 species